UGCAAGAAACCCAGAUGAGAACAUCGAUGGAAAAGUAUAUGUUGUGGAGAAUUUGGAGUGAAGAAAAUUACUGAUCAGACUUUGUUCAAAAAUGGAGAGGCCAAAUGCAUAGAUGGGUUAACAAGCUUAGACCCAACUUGAAGACUGGAAGCAAGUUUUCAGCAGAGGAAGAGAGGAUGGUGAUACAACUGCAAGCACAAUUCGGGAACAAGUGGACGAAAAUCGCAACGUAGUUGCCAGGGAGAACAGACAACGAUGUGAAAAAUUUCUGGAGCACGAGACGGAAGCGGUUCGAGAGGAUUUUGCAGAAAUCAACAUCAUUAGAGUCCCAGAACAACAAGGGAAGAGCCCUCUUGUCCAUCAUGAAUUACCAGAGGUUAAGGUUCCUCCUGAUCCAUGCAGUUCUGCUAUUGAGGAGGGCACAGCAUGCUGCAACUAUGAAACCCACAAUUG